rnacentral:lncRNA from 1 species
UCCUUCCACUCUCUAACGUCUCUAGUCCAAACACAAUGUCUAACAUCCCCUCCCCCCCCAGCUUUGGCUUUCCACCAUUCUUCCCACCUUCUCCUGCUGCUAGACAACCACCCCGCCCGCGGCCACCCCCUGUUGCACCACCAGUAGUCCCGGCGCCACCCCGCCCGCGGCCACCCCCUGUUGCACCACCAGUUGUUCCGGCGCCACCCCGCCCUCAGCCACCCCCUGUUGCACCACCAAUUGUCCCGGUGCCACCCCGCCCGCAGCCACCCNNNNNNNNNNNNNNNNNNNNUGUCCCGGUUCCACCGCGCCCCAAGCCACCCCCAGUCGCACCACCAGUUGUCCCGGCGCCACCCCGCCCACAGCCACCACCUGUGGCACCACCAGUUGUCCCGGCACCACCCCGCCCGCUGCCGCCACCAACCCCCGUCACUCCCCCAUCGCCUCCC